CUGGCGGCAGGCUUAACACAUGCAAGUCGAACGGGCAUAGCAAUAUGUCAGUGGCAGACGGGUGAGUAACGCGUGGGAAUCUACCCAUCUCUACGGAAUAACUCAGGGAAACUUGUGCUAAUACCGUAUACGCCCUUUUGGGGAAAGAUUUAUCGGAGAUGGAUGAGCCCGCGUUGGAUUAGCUAGUUGGUGGGGUAAAGGCCUACCAAGGCGACGAUCCAUAGCUGGUCUGAGAGGAUGAUCAGCCACAUUGGGACUGAGACACGGCCCAAACUCCUACGGGAGGCAGCAGUGGGGAAUAUUGGACAAUGGGCGCAAGCCUGAUCCAGCCAUGCCGCGUGUGUGAUGAAGGCCUUAGGGUUGUAAAGCACUUUCACCGGAGAAGAUAAUGACGGUAUCCGGAGAAGAAGCCCCGGCUAACUUCGUGCCAGCAGCCGCGGUAAUACGAAGGGGGCUAGCGUUGUUCGGAAUUACUGGGCGUAAAGCGCACGUAGGCGGACAUUUAAGUCAGGGGUGAAAUCCCAGAGCUCAACUCUGGAACUGCCUUUGAUACUGGGUGUCUAGAGUAUGGAAGAGGUGAGUGGAAUUCCGAGUGUAGAGGUGAAAUUCGUAGAUAUUCGGAGGAACACCAGUGGCGAAGGCGGCUCACUGGUCCAUUACUGACGCUGAGGUGCGAAAGCGUGGGGGAGCAAACAGGAUUAGAUACCCUGGUAGUCCACGCCGUAAACGAUGAAUGUUAGCCGUCGGGCAGUUUACUGGUCGGUGGCGCAGCUAACGCAUUUAAACAUUUCG
rnacentral:rRNA from 1 species